UCAAUACUUCAUGUAUCUUAAGUACCUAUUUGCCCAAAGCAUAUUGUUUGGAGCAGAAGGCAAAUAGUUCACCAGCCAUUGCAUCAGUUGGUUUAGGUUUUGUCAAUGUACAGUAGCUGUCAGUGUUUCCUGCUGCUCCACUGAUCACUGUAACAAUGUCAGUCUGCCUGAGGCCAACAAUGCCCCAAAUGGAUUAAAAUGUGUCUCAUGCAACAGCAGGACAGAUAAACAGUGUAAUACUAAAGCGUCCUGUGUGGGAGUCCAGGACCUCUGCCUUGAUGAUACAGGUAAUGGAGGAUUCCUCAUUCAGACACCUUUUCCUUCCCUUCAACGUGCUAGACUCAAGGGUUGUGUCUCAAGAAAUCUUUGUGGACCUUCAUCCAUCACCAAGUUCAACUGCAUUAGCAAUUUAGGUUACCCGGCCAUUGAUAUUAGAGAAUUCAGACUUCUUCUGAUGGUCUUUAUUAUUGUUUUUUCCUCCCUGUAAUUUCAAUUAUUAUUCAUGUAUUCUUGAAUGCUUUGAAAAUGCAUACAAUCUGUAUACUUAAAUCUUAUUAUGUAUAAUUAAUUUAGCAUAAAAAUGAGUGCAUUAUUCAAGUAUCUUUUUCUCCUUUUGUAACCAUUGAUGAAAAACAAGUUUCAGUCAAUCAAUCAAUCAAUCAAUCAACAUUUAUUUAUAUAACACAUUUAAAACAACACCAGUUGACCAAAGUGCUUUACCUGUCUAAAAAUUACUCAAACAGACACAAUACACAACAAUAAACAUUAAAGUUUAAAGACAUUGCAAAAAUGUUUUGGCUAUCAAUGUAAGCUGUCAUGCAUGAUUUAACAGUUGAUAAAUAUGUCCUGAGUAUACUGUACAAAAAAAUACUACUUGGUAUUCCAUGUGGAGUUUAGUGUAAAAACAGACACUUUUUAUAUUUCUGAGGUACUCAUAAGAAAAUUGUUUCAUAGUUGGGUAUGUGGUGAGCAGAAACUACUACUUUUUUGCAUUCCCAUUUGUCCCAAUAACAAAAGCAAAACAAUCCACAGUAGCAUUUACAUGAAUAAAUACUGAGAGAUUGACAGAAAAGAGAAAGCUGUCAAAUUUGCAGUGACUCCCUCAGCCGUUGUAUUAGAAACACUCACACAGCAUUGUUAACCAGUUUUCAAUAUAUACAGUGCUGCCUGAAAGUUUGUGAACCCUUUAGAAUUUUCUAUAUUUCUGCAUAAAUAUGACCCAAAACAUCAUCAGAUUUUCAUAUGUCCUGAAAGUAGACAAAGAGAACCGAAUCAAACAAGUGAGAGAAGAAAUAUUUUCUUUGUCAUUUAUUUAUUGAGAAAAAUUAUCCAGUGUU